GGCCACUGCUAUUGGAGUCCGACUAAGCCAUGCGAGUCCAGGGGGGCUUUGCCCACCGGCGGACGGCUCAGUAACACGUGGACAACCUGCCCUCGGGAGGGGGAUAACCCUGGGAAACUGGGGCUAAACCCCCAUAGGCCAUGGGUGCUGGAAGGCCCUAUGGCUGAAAUUCCUUCGGGAGCCCGAGGAUGGGUCUGCGGCCUAUCAGGUUGUAGUGGGGGUAACGGCCCCACUAGCCUACGACGGGUACGGGCCUUGGGAGAGGGAGCCCGGAGAUGGACUCUGAGACACGAGUCCAGGCCCUACGGGGCGCAGCAGGCGCGAAACCUCCGCAAUGCGCGAAAGCGCGACGGGGGGACUCCAAGUGCCUACGCUCAGCGUAGGCUGUUCCCGAGCCUAAAAAGCUCGGGGAGUAAGGGCUGGGUAAGACGGGUGCCAUCUGUGACGGUAGUCAGAGAUUUGGCUUGCCGUUGCAAGGCAUAAGCCGCCGCGGUAAUACCCGCAGCCCGAGUGGUGGCCGCUAUUAUUGGGCCUAAAGCGUCCGUAGCCGGCCCGGUAAAUGCCUGGGUAAAUCGUCUGGCCCAACCAGACGAAUUCCGGGUAGACUGCCGGGCUAGGGACCGGAGGAGGGAGAGGGUACUCCAGGGGUAGGGGUGAAAUCCUGUAAUCCCUGGAGGACCACCGGUGGCGAAGGCGCUCUCCUAGGACGGGUCCGACGGUGAGGGACGAAGGCCAGGGGAGCAAACCGGAUUAGAUACCCGGGUAGUCCUGGCCGUAAACGAUGUGGGCUUGGUAUUGGAAAUCCCAUGAGGGUUUCCAGUGCCGUAGGGAAGCCGUUAAGCCCACCGCCUGGGGAGUACGGUCGCAAGGCUGAAACUUAAAGGAAUUGGCGGGGGAGCACUGCAACGGGAGGAGCGUGCGGUUU
rnacentral:rRNA from 1 species